rnacentral:piRNA from 1 species
UUCUUUACCGUGCUACUCAGCUAUAAGGUC